rnacentral:rRNA from 1 species
AUGAGUAACAUCAAUUGUGCGAUCAUGUCAUGGAAUGUCCGGGGCCUAAAUUCUGCGGCAAGACGGGAAGCAGUUAGGGAGGUAGGGGCUGCGCAGCGACUAGCCAUCCUCUGCAUCCAGGAAACAAAAAUUGAAACAUGGUCUCAAGCCAUGGUUAGUGACGUCGGCGGUAGCUGCUUGAAGGAUUGCGUAGUCCUGCCGGCGAUAGGCUCAAGGGGUGGAAUCGCCAUCUUCUGGAACCGAGACCUUGUGUCUGUUCACUCCCAGGCUGUUGGACAAUACUCCAUCACGGCCACGGUCAUAGUAGUUAGCUCGGCGACUAGCUUUGUUCUCACCACU